rnacentral:rRNA from 1 species
GACGUAGGGAGCGAGCGUUGUCCGGAUUCAUUGGGCGUAAAGCGCGCGUAGGCGGUUUGGUAAGUCGGAUGUGAAAUCCCGAGGCUCAACCUCGGGACUGCAUCCGAUACUGCCCGACUAGAGGUAGGUAGGGGAGAUCGGAAUUCCUGGUGUAGCGGUGAAAUGCGUAGAUAUCUGGAGGAACACCGGUGGCGAAGGCGCGAUCCGUGGACCGGCAUUGACGCUGAGGCGCGAAAGCGUGGGGAGCAAACAGG